UCUGGCUGUAUUCUGGAGCGUUUCCUCAUGGGCGUCGCAGUUCACACACGUCACGGAUUCCGCCGAAAGAGUCGAUAAUUAAAACUGAACUUUUGGAUCGGAUAUAUGAAGACGCGCGCUGCAUUUUCCUUGACGGAGACGCACAGCUCUGACACUAGACAAUAUUAUACACUCAAAGGGACCGCGUUUCGCCGGAAGAAUAAAUAAUUACAAAUGGUAUUCGUCAGUGAACAUUUUCAAACUGGGAAUAAUAUAUCAUAAGCAGAUUGAAAUGUG